CUCCUGAUUUCAGGACACGAUGAUGGACUGCGAGGGUGAUGGAGGAGGGUUGGAGGAGCUCGUUGAUCUGGCAACCGACAUCGCGGAUUCAUCCCCGACAAUCCGAGAUGCCGCGGAGAGGUUGCUGACGUUGCUGGGCGUGGACGAGGAGGAUCCGGAGGACCUGGUGUCCUCCUCCGAGGACGAGGGCGUAGAACUCGACGAGCUGGACGAGGACGACGACGAGGAGGACGACGACGGACCCGAGAACGCCAGGCUGUUGCAUCAGCUGGCCGCCUCGUUGGCCAUGGAGCUGAAACAGUCCCAUCAGCUGAAACAGAGUUCCAGCAAGCAUCCGAGAACAGGGGACAGUUUCGACAGGGAUCGUCGAGUGGAGCUGAUAGGGACGAGUUACCUGGAGCACAGUUACACCGUUCAACAGGCCGGUAACACGAAGGGGAGCAGCUGUUGUCGGGGCAUCGUGGCGGACAAGUCGUCGCGUACGUUCGGCAAACAGCGAACGAUCGUCAUCGAGCCUCGCGAUCGCCGGUGUCCGGACGAUCGUUCGAGGAUGAGCCAAGACGAAAACGAAGACGAAGACGAAGACGAGGACGAAGGGAACAGCGUCGACGAGCAGGUUCCAGUGUCGUGGAACGCCGGCUGGGACGCCUGCGCCACGGAAGCACUCAGAUAUCUCGUGGAGGAUGAAGGAUUGCCGCCUCAUCAUCCCACGGUCCUGGCCAUGAAGGACCAUCUGGAGCUGCAGAGGGAACGCGCGUUCGCUCAGUACACCGCGUAAACGAGUCGCUCUGAUUUUUAUCGCACGAGGGAAGCCAGAGGCUGGCUUUCACCGAUAGGAACGUCGCUCCGACCGGGAUGAGGGAGAGGGGGAGGGCGAUCGCGAGGCCCGAACAGGAUGCGAACGAAGGGGGUAUUUCCUGUUCGGAGGCGGAGGUUGAGAGGUGAAUGUGGAGUGGACGAUAGGAGAUGGUCCUGCGAGAUUGAGUCUUUGGUAAUGAGCGCGGUUACGGCUUGGAAUUUACGAGAGGAUUAAUUAGUAUUAUAUGGAGUUUCGUAACGAAUGAAGCCAGCAGAAGCAGAAGCUCAACAUUCGAAAUCACACGCUUCCGCGAUGGAGUUAAUCGCUUUAGAGAUUGCCUCUGAAAGACUCAUCUAUCACCUUCUUAAGAGGAAUUUAAAAAAAGAUCGAAACGUUGAGAUUGAAUUCUUGCUGCACGGACGCCAUGAAUUUUAAUGGAAAUGCACUGGAAACCCCGUGUCCCACAUUCACUUUUCAAUCAUCUUGACUGGGAGCUUCGCGAUCGUCCGCGUCUUGGCUCGUGCAGAGAAGUUCCUGUCGCGAUAAAAAAA